rnacentral:rRNA from 1 species
AGAUUAAGUUAUUAAGGGCGCACGGUGGAUGCCUUGGCACUAGAAGCCGAUGAAGGACGUUACUAACGACGAUAUGCUUUGGGGAGCUGUAAGUAAGCUUUGAUCCAGAGAUUUCCGAAUGGGGGAACCCAGCACGAGUUAUGUCGUGUUAUCCGCAUAUGAAUUCAUAGUAUGUGAGAAGGUAGACCCGGAGAACUGAAACAUCUUAGUACCCGGAGGAAGAGAAAGAAAAAUCGAUUCCCUGAGUAGCGGCGAGCGAAACGGGAAGAGCCCAAACCAACAAGCUUGCUUGUUGGGGUUGUAGGACACUCUAUACGGAGUUACAAAAGUAUUUGUUAGACGAAUAACCUGGAAAGGUUAAUCAGAGAAGGUAAUAAUCCUGUAGUCGAAAACGAAUACCCUCUUGAGUGGAUCCUGAGUACGACGGAGCACGUGAAAUUCCGUCGGAAUCUGGGAGGACCAUCUCCUAAGGCUAAAUACUCUCUAGUGACCGAUAGUGAACCAGUACCGUGAGGGAAAGGUGAAAAGUACCCCGGAAGGGGAGUGAAAGAGAACUUGAAACCGUGUGCUUA